UGCAGUACUACUUUAUGAUUUGUGGCUGGUUGAUGGAACCUGUAUAUUCCAAUCCUUUGGAAUAGAGAUUCUACUUGUGCUUAGUAAUAUGGUGGAUUUCAUCUUAUACCUGAAGGUCUGUGACUGGAAAAUAAGUACGCUGUUUGGACAUUUCCGUUUUUAUAUGUUCUGCUGAUGACCGACUUUCAGUAAAGAUUAAGGUGUCUGCCUUGUAGAAAAAAUUACCAAUCAUCUAGCAAUUUCCUUUAAGUAUUAUAUAGUAUUCUUGAUCCACCGUUGUGUAUGUACACGCUAACGGCCGGCUGGCCGCAGCUAAUUACUCAUUAGUCAAUAUGUUAAUGAACUAGCACGAAAUUAGAGAAUCCCAAAGUCAGCAGGCAAUAGCCCAUGUACGAUCGUGGCUGGCUUAUUUUGAUCUAUGAAUCGAUCAGAUCGUGACCUGUGUAUGUGCAUAUUCUGCACUUUCACUGGCUGGAUAUAGUAACUUCGGUUCAGAUUUGAUUGUCACCAUCAUCCUAGAGCAUAGUAGCAACUGCUGCUAGGAGCCUAACGCUUGAGCACUUGGUGCAGCACCGCAGUAUUCGUCUUUACAACAGUGUGUUUGUUGCGCGCCGUCUUCCAUGAUGCAUUGAUCCUUGGAGUCUUUGAACCUGGUGUCAGAACUCAUGCGAGGCAACCUUAAACUUAAGUUAUAUCAUUACAAAUUAAGAUUGUUGUUAGAACUUUUAAAGAUUGCUCGUCAGUGUUUUUGUUCGAUCUACUUAAAUGUGCUUGGAAGUGUUAUUAUGUUUUUGUUCAAUCUACUUAAAUGUGUUUGCAAGUUCUUAUGAAAUGAAUCCAUUAUUCUUUACAGGACAAUUUUUUUACAUAUUCAGCUUUGGGAGAAAGUUCAGGGCAUAUAUAGCAGGCUACUUCUGUAGGAGGUACGACCGCAUGAAUAAUGUUGGCUUGUAAAGCUGUAGGUGAUUUAAGUGACAUCAUCUGCAGUGUAAUUCAGAAAAUCAUGUUGAAAAAGAUUUUGUAUUCACUCAGAUUACUAUUGUUGUCAAUCAUAUAUAUAAAUCAAAAUCACUAGAAAACACACUUGUUAACAUUUAAUACAGCCACCUGAUUUAGCUUUGUGCGAAUUAUUUUCUAUCAACUUCAAGUAUUUCUGGAGAUUUUUGAAUCUCUGCAUUUAUAUAUGCACUGUUAGAUCUGUGUUUGCAAUGAAGCAUGCUCUAUUUGUCGGCGCACACAUUUUUUGGGCAUUUACCUCACUGUAUCUUCAUUAUAUUCUUUGUAUGGUGUUUAUUAACUCAAUUAACAUAUGAAUGGUCUGUUCAUAAGGCUCUCUUUUCUCUGUCUACAGAGUUGAGUUCUAUGGUUGGGACUGUAAAAAGGUGUUCAAAUUAUGAUAUAUCAAAGCCCUUCACAGGUGAUGAUGUAUGUUGGAUGAUGGAAUGAUUAUUCUGUUCCGGUCCUUGCUUUGACUUGGUUGUUCAGAGAAGUAAAACUUCAACUAACAUGUUUAUUGAAGCAACAUAUUGUAUCUGAAGUGAAACUUUCUCUUUGAUAUGGAAAUGUGAGCAUCAAACUAACAUCCAUCUAAGAUAAGGUAUGCUGAUUUCUCUACUGUUUGGAAUUCAACAUGGUUGAGCAACAAUUUAUUAUUGAUCAUUCUUUUUGCAAUAUGAAUGCUCAUUGUAGUUCCUGCUUUGCUUGGGAAAUCUAAACAAGAAUGUUGCUCUUGCUACACUCCAAUGUACCGACCUAGAAUAUAAGACAAAAAUUGAGGGCGUUGAACUUGGUAAUUGAUUCUUGGUUGAUACGGCCACUAAAACAAAACUAUAGGCCAUAUAGCAAGAUGAACUAUUAUAUGGCCUUGAAGCUUCGUAUGUUGCUCUUUGUUUGAAUUUUACUGCCCUAUUAACUUGAUUUUAUUUGAUGCCACCUUAUUUUUCUCAUUUCUUUGUUGUAGAUUGCCAAGAUAUAUUGAUGAUCCAUGGCUCAGAAGUUGACUGCAAGAUCGAGAAGGUGGCUACUACUAGAUAGUUUUAGAUUAGGUUAUUAGAAUGUCAUUCAGGUCAAUGUUUCAAACAUUAUGUUUUAGAUGGCUGACAUGUUGAUUGCAAGGUUGAGAAUCAGACUACUACUAGAUAGUUUCACAUACUGUAAUCUUUGUAUCACGUUCUUUGUAAAGCAACCAAGUUGAUUUAAUAUAUGUGACCUUUCUAAUUAUUAUGUUUGUGUCUCUUAUGCACUAUCAACAUUGACAUAAUAAUUUAGAAUUUUGAUGUACA
rnacentral:lncRNA from 1 species